rnacentral:rRNA from 1 species
CCCUUAGAUGUUCUGGGCCGCACGCGCGCUACACUGAUGCAUUCAACGAGUUUUACCUUGGCCGAGAGGCCUGGGCAAUCUUUUAAACCUGCAUCGUGAUAGGGAUAGAUUAUUGCAAUUAUUAAUCUUGAACGAGGAAUUCCUAGUAAGCGCAAGUCAACAGCUUGCGUUGAUUACGUCCCUGCCCUUUGUACACACCGCCCGUCGCUACUACUGAUUGGAUGUUUAAGCGAGGUUCUCGAACUGCUAGCGACUUAGCUUCGGUGAGGUCGCAGUGUGGGAAGUGAACCUAGCUUUGGUGUCUAGAGGAAGUAAAAGUCGUAACA